UGUGCUUUGGUAUGAUCCGAUCCUCCCCUGCUCCUCCUCUCCAUGGUGGUAGUUUCUAUUGUGAGAAGGUCAAAUUACUCCGCAUGUUUGCAACUGUACAUACUUUCGGGCUAUGUUGCUGCACGCUUGAAGAAGAAUUAAGAAGACCGAAUUCUGUUUCACACCGACUGAGAAUGUUUGUAAACUGAACCUGGGUCGUGCCACGAGCUCCCUUCUGAAAGUCUACAGUCUGAAGGCUCACCCUCUCACCUCGACCCCUAGAACAACCCUCUGAACAGCAGCAACAGCAGCAUCAAGGCGUCGCCAAGAUGUUCAGCACCAAAAGACUGAAGAAGAAAUCCCAGUCAGUGGAUAUUGCCACUCAAGGAUUCUCCCCUACCCUGGUGCCAGCCUCGCCGAUCAACAAGACUGCAGCACCCGUUACCAUGACAACCACGUUGGGGGUGCAGCAAAACAAUGCAACCAAUUCCCAGAGAAUCUGCAGUCCACGGUGCAGCGAGCUGAAACGCGGCUACACCAUAGAUACCGGCCAGAAGAAGACUCAGGAGAAGAAGGAUGGCAGCAGACGCAUGUCGUUCCAGAGACCCAAAGGAACCGUUGAGUAUGCUGUAAGUAAACAGGUUUUCAGACUGUGUCUUCUCUGUCUGGGUGUUUUUAAUGCUUUUUACUGCUGCUACUGCUGUGCUUCUGUGUGUCUACUGGCUGUUGCCCUGCUGUUGUGUUGGUGUGUUAUGAAAAUGAGCCUGGCCAUGCUGGCUCACAUCGUUAGGUGUGUGUGUGUGUGUGUGUGUGUGUGUGUGUGUGUGUGUGUGUGU